rnacentral:sRNA from 1 species
AGAAGUCGAUAAGACCAGGAGAAGUGAAGAUGUAACAUGUUAUCUGUCGCUCCUCUUAGCUGGCGGAGAGAAUUUACAUUUAAAGAUUAGCAGAGUGAGAAAGAGAAAUCUGCCUUUUGUUGUGUGGGGUGAGGAGGAGGCAUCUACCCCUGGCCUUGACGCUAUCUCCCAUCACCUCUGCUAUCCAGACAGGACUCACCGAGAAAAGAUUGAUCUCUGGGCUGGUGAACAUAAUCUCUGUCCCAGUCAGAAAAGGAGAGAGGAAAUUAGCAGAGCGAUUGGUGGAGAAUGAUAUCUGUCAAAAGAAACACUUGGAGAGCACUGAGUUUAGUAAUAGGUGACUGCCGGAAAAAAGGGAACUUUGAAUAUUGUCAAGAUAAACCCCACUUGAAAAACUGAGGUGCUUAAGGAGUAAAAUAAUAUGUUCCUGGUGGCAUCCUCCAGAUCGUACUGAGAAGCACUCCACAAUGCCAGACUCACCUGUGGAUGUGAAGACGCAAUCUAGGCUGACUCCUCCAACGAUGCCACCUCCCCCAACUACU